rnacentral:lncRNA from 1 species
AAUUUCAGUUUCCCAAAACUUAUUCUGUUAUUCAUUUACAAAAUCCCUUCUUUCAGUUUCAUGUCAUAUUUCAUCUCUCCUAACAGCUGCCAUUCUCCAAUCUUCUAUUAGACUCAGAAAAGUCUGAAGCAUUGAUACCUAAAUCAUUGGUUCCUCUGUAUGCCAUGAUCAGACAAAAGGAACUAGGGUCUGCCUCCGAAAUCUGAAAUCUAGUGUUUUGUAAGACCACAAUCUCUAAUUCUCUUCAUCUCCCUUACACCUGUGGUCCUCUUUGAUAAUGUCUCAGUAACCACCAGCCAUUUCUUCCUUCAAUAAAAGCACUUCAUAAACAACUGAUGCCCUUCAUUUUCUUGCAAAUCUCCUCUCAUGUCAACAAAGCCAGGCUACAAUCCUGAAUAUAUGCCACAAUCUACCACCUCCCUUUACCUAUUUGGGAUAUACUCUGAGAACAGCCAUGAUUGUUAACCUUAGUUCCUCAAAUCUACUUUCAGUAUGUCCACUCGAUGUCUGAAAACUAAUGUCAGUCUGCCACUUCCUUAAAUAUCUAUUAAUGAUUGCUGUGACUCCUGUGUAUAUUCGUGUUUCUUUUCACUGAAACAUGAAGGGUUAAAUCUAAUCCCUUACUUAACUAGAAAGCAGCUCUUACACUCCACCUCCUUCCAAUUUCCUCUAACAUUUUUUACUUCUCUUUUCUUCACCAGUGCCCCUCUGCUCUACCCUUGUGCAAUAUGCAAUUCUUCUUGAAUAACAGUGUCUAGAAGUUUUCCAGAUUGAAUAUUGUAAUCUGAGAAUUACAGAAAGAUUUAGAACUUGAAAACUUUGCUCCCUUGUUUAAGAAAGAAAGCAUAUGUAAAAACUCAAAACCAACCAAACAGAAAAUAAGUAAGGCUGUACUCAUUAAAAACACUUUCCUGGAAAGAGGACAGCAGAGUACUACCCUGGAAAAGCAAGGCCGCGAGUCGCGCGGAACACACCAAAUCAGCCCGCUGCAGACAGGCAGGUCUGCGGACACCCUACCGAGGUCUCAAGUCGUGUGGAACAUGCCGAAUGAGCCCAUGCCCCGGCAACAAUCCACUGGACACCACCACCACCACCACCACCCCCAAACAGCUCCUCUGGUCUAUCCUUCUUCCCAUCUGUCCCUCCCUCCCC